GACAGUGUUACAAACAUUACUUUCUGGAAGUAUGUGGAAUUUCUCUUGUGGUUUUGCACACCAUUUUGUGGGAACUACAUAUGUCCGUCUACCAGUGUUGAUGUGUCUCGUGAAUCAAAAGGAUGGAAGGAUCAGAAUUACUACUAAUUUAUAAAGAGCACCGACA